rnacentral:rRNA from 1 species
AACGAACGCUGGCGGCAUGCCUAACACAUGCAAGUCGAACGAGAUCUUCGGGUCUAGUGGCGCACGGGUGCGUAACGCGUGGGAAUCUGCCCUUUGGUUCGGAAUAACAGUUGGAAACGACUGCUAAUACCGGAUGAUGACGAAAGUCCAAAGAUUUAUCGCCAGAGGAUGAGCCCGCGUAGGAUUAGCUAGUUGGUGUGGUAAAGGCGCACCAAGGCGACGAUCCUUAGCUGGUCUGAGAGGAUGAUCAGCCACACUGGGACUGAGACACGGCCCAGGCUCCGACGGGAGGCAGCAGUGGGGAAUAGUGGACAAUGGGCGAAAGCCUGAUCCAGCAAUGCCGCGUGGGUGAUGAAGGCCUUAGGGUUGUAAAGCUCUUUUACCGGGGAUGAUAAUGACAGUACCGGGAGAAUAAGCUCCGGCUAACUCCGUGCCAGCAGCCGCCGUAA